UUAUUUUUCAUCAUAAAUUUCAUCAUAAAUCUUGCUUUAUAAAACUAAAAGUACUACAGUCUUAGAUUAACCUGCAAGUGCUGCACAGUGGCUCACAAAAGAUUUUGCCUGCUAUUUGGAGCAUAACAACCUUAAAGAAAUAUUGAAAAGACAGAGGCACCAACACUAGGCAACAAAUCACAAAGCACUUCCCAAAGGAAGCGCGAAUGUGUGUGAUAUCUACCAUCAAGUUGCAAAUUAGAAUUGUAUUUGAUAGGUAUUGGUGGUUCUUUUCUCAGCAGGAGUUGGAGGUUUGGAGUAACAACAGCAGACAUGGAACUGUGCAGAUCUAUGCCCUUUUCAAGCGUCUUGGGAAUCCCAAGUCUAUGAUCUAGCCAAAUUUCAUUCACAGCAAUUGUGUAUUGACUACUUGUCUAGCGAAAGCAACUUCAGCACAAAUACCUAUGUUUCCUCUGGCACUGUUCAUAUUCUCAGAUUAUCUAAAAUGACACCAUCAUUUUUUUUUUAACCUUAGAUCAUUCACUUUUUUCCUAUCAUUACAUUCUCAUGCCCUAGUUUUAUAAAUUCUUUAUUUUUACAUUUCUGUAAUGACUGUGAACAUUAUCAGAAACAAAAUGAAAAGUUGCUAAUGUUAAGAAAACCUUGACAAACAGAGCUGGAAAAGCCAUGGAGAGAAGGUUCUCAGUCGUUUUUAUUGGGUAAGAAAAAAAGUUACCAAAAACAUAAUCUUGCACAAAGCUUAUCACAUUAUACAAAAAACUUCUGCAAGGACAUCUGAUCAGUAACUGCCAGUUCAAACUUGACCUGAUGUCACCCUUGUUAUUAAUGUUUGUAGUGAAUGAUAAGUAUUUUAGAACAUUUAUUUAAUCCUUUUCAUUUUUUUCUUUGAAAACCUUUGUCUUCCUUUAUCUCCUUAAGUACAUAAAUGGUUUACUAUGGUACACAUAAACCCAUUACAAAACUUCUUUCCCACAUAAACAACUUUUAUUUUAGAGUCUCCUUCUGUUUAUUAAGUUGACAAGAUGUAUCCAAAAGCAGCCGAAUGCAUAGCUUGAACUCUCAUCCAAGCACACAAAUAAGGCAUUGAUAAAACCUACUCUGGUGGUAAGUGGAGAAGAGACGAGAGCAAAGUGAAGCUGCAGAUUUUGCAUUUGUAGGAGGCUUCCUUUGGCUGCCAGGCUGCAGAAACUUCCUCACCGUGGGCAGGUUGCUGAUUCUGGUUUUCAGGGCCUGUAAUUCACAAAGCACAGCCUCAGAGUGAAGCUAAGGGCUGACAUCACCGUUAACACCACCCAGGGAAUCUGAGCCCUCCUGCCAAAGACCAAGUGAGUCCCCUCCAUCAGCAGCAGUAUGGAGGCAGAAACAGAUACGCAGUGAGAAAUGAAGAGAAGAGGAAGAACAUGUAGCUCGCUAGCAUUUUCCCCAAAGAUGUCUUUAAGAUUUUAUUCAGUUCAGUCAUCCCUAGCUUAGCCCUUACAUAUUAAUACUGUAGAUUUGUGGCUUUUGUGUAAGACAAGAAGAUAUCAACACAGGUCAGUCUCUAAGCAGAAGUGAAAAUACGGAGAAAGGAGUUGGAAAGGAAAAUAGUACAGAAAAUGUUAAAGACAAACCAUGGGACCGCUUUUUCCCACUGAGAGACACAGUGUGCGGGGCCGUGUGUUGAGAGGACUGUGCAGAGAGGAACACAACGUCCAGCAGCACAAGCCAGAGCCCAGGAAGGAACCAGAUGGCAAGGGCCCUGCUCAGACACACUCAGUGUGGAAACACAAGGACACUCCUGAGAUAAAGGGCAUCACAGAGAACUCAGGGACAGGCUACAGAGGAAGGGGGAGGAAUAUGCUGGGCCCUGGGUCCUUUCCGUGAUAAAAGGCAAAAUACUCUUCAUGGGGUAGCAUGUCCCAGAGAUUUCCCUGCUAUAACAACAGUUUUUUCAUGCCUCCAAAUUGGGGCCAGGAAACUCAUUUUGGAGACCUGAGAGCACUGAAGGCCUAAAAAAGGCUAGGGUCAGAAGAUGACUGGUCCAAAGGCCCAGAUACUAGAUCCCAAGAUGGGAGAUGUGGGGUUGCCUCUCUGGGUGGUGAAAUGGGUCACCUGCAGCAGAGGGAAGCUGAAGAUAAGGCUGGGGUCAACCUCUUCCACAAAGUAGAGAAGUUCCACCAGCUGAAUGUCAGCCCGGCUCAGCUUGUUGCCAACAAGGUAGUCUUGUCCAUGGCUCUUUAACACCUGGAGAAUUUGAGGAAUCAGAUCAGGAACACAUGUGCAAUCAGGCUGGGUCCCUGCUUCUCCCUGAGUCUUUCCAGCCUGACAUUCCCACCUGUGUUGCCUAACUGAGUGACAUAAAGGUCCAGGCCUUUGUUUAUGUUCCCUGAUUGAGGGAGGGAGCAAGAAUGUGGCUCUGCUCACUCCUCCGUUGGAGCCCAGGCUCCCAUUUUCUCUUCUCAUUCCACAUCACUGUGGCGUCCACACCACCCACCCAGCUUGCCUCUUCCACAUGGGCCAAGGGCUUUACACCUGCCUCUGCAUGUUCCGUCUGCCCCACGCCCUCCAGCGCGCAGUCCUGACAUUUAGGAUGCGGCUCUACUCUGCUCUCUCCCUCUCCAGUCUCCCUUGGGCAGCAACUCCACCUUCAUGACAGCUCUCUUCCCCCAGGAGUAGGCUAUUUCAGAGUCUUCACUUCUCCAUAUGUUCCAUAGACUCAACAGCAACCUCUAGUGUGAUUAAGAGCUUUCCACAGCCCACGUUCUACUCACAAACAUACAAUUUUUUUGAACAGAGAAUUCUGUAUUGGGGUCUAGUAAAUUGAAAUUUUGCUGGAAAAUUA